CUAAGAAUCUUCCGCAAUGGGCGCAAGCCUGACGGAGCGACGCCGCGUGGACGAAGAAGGCCGAAAGGUUGUAAAGUCCUUUUCUUUGUGAAGAAUAAGGUGGGCAGGUAAUGGCCCAUUGAUGACGUUAGCAGAGGAAUAAGCCCCGGCUAAUUACGUGCCAGCAGCCGCGGUAAUACGUAAGGGGCGAGCGUUGUUCGGAAUUAUUGGGUGUAAAGGGCGCGUAGGCGGCCGGAGAAGUCUGGUGUAAAAAAUAGCAGCUUAACUGCUGGGAUGCGCUGGAAACUGUCUGGCUAGAGUUUAGGAGGGGAAGCUGGAAUUCCAGGUGUAGGGGUGAAAUCUGUAGAUAUCUGGAAGAACACCGGUGGCGAAGGCGAGCUUCUGGCCAUAGACUGACGCUGAGGCGCGAAAGCGUGGGGAGCGAACAGGAUUAGAUACCCUGGUAGUCCACGCCGUAAACGAUGUACACUAGGUGUCUGUGCACGAGCAUAGGUGCCGAAGCGAACGCGAUAAGUGUACCACCU
rnacentral:rRNA from 1 species